UCCCGGUUGGCCCGGGCAGUCUCGCGUGAAAAAUUCAACACACGACAAGGGUUGCGCUCGUUGCGGGACUUAACCCAACAUCUCACGACACGAGCUGAAGACGGCCAUGCAGCACCUGUCAUUCCGUUCCUUACGGCACGGCCCUAUUUCUAGGGCCUUCGGAAGAUGUCAAACCUCGGUAAGGUUCUUCGCGUAUCGUCGAAUUAAACCCCAUGCUCCACCGCUUGUGCGGGUCCCCGUCAAUUCCUUUGAGUUUUAAGCUUGCGCUCGUACUCCCCAGGCGGCAUGCUUAUCGCGUUAGCUUCUCAGCCCAAGGGGUCGAUACCUCGAACUAAUAGCAUGCAUCGUUUACGGCGUGGACUAC
rnacentral:misc_RNA from 1 species